UCAUAUCACAUUGAUACACCGGUUACCGUACGAUCACAGAAGUUAAGCAACCUCGAGUCUGGUCAGUACCGAGAUGUGUGACAGCUUCGGAAUACAUGGUGCU